UCUAACAAGGGCAAGACCUAGACUGGUUAAGUGCAGGGACCGAGACGCAAGUUCAGGAGUAUUUCUAGGAAUAUGAACAAGGGCAGGACCCAUCCUAUCUCAGUGCAGGGACCGAGUUGUGCCCUCAGGAGUGUUUCUCGAGGUUUGACCAUGGGAAGGACCCAGACUGCUUCAGGGCAGAGACUGAGAUGUGGGCUCAGGAGGAUGUGUUCAGGUAUCUAACAAGGGAAGGACCUAGACUGGUUUGGUGCAGUGACCAAGAUGUGGGCACAGGGGCAUUCGCCAGUGGCUUUAGCAAGUGCUUGACCCAGCCUCGUCCAGUACAAGGAAUGAGAUGCUGGCUUGGGAGUGUUCAACAGCGUCUUGAAUAAGUGCAGGAUCCAGCCUAGUUCAGUGCAGGGACCAAGAUGCAGGCCCAGGAGUGUUUGUCGGGGGAUUGAACAAGGGCAGGACCCAG
rnacentral:sRNA from 1 species